UUAAAUUGAAGAGUUUGAUCAUGGCUCAGAUUGAACGCUGGCGGCAGGCCUAACACAUGCAAGUCGAACGGUAACAGGAAGCAGCUUGCUGCUUUGCUGACGAGUGGCGGACGGGUGAGUAAUGUCUGGGAAACUGCCUGGUGGAGGGGGAUAACUACUG
rnacentral:rRNA from 1 species